rnacentral:rRNA from 1 species
AACGGACGCUGGCGGCAUGCCUAACACAUGCAAGUCGAACGAGACCUUCGGGUCUCGUGGCGCACGGGUGCGUAACGCGUGGGAACCUGCCCUUAGGUUCGGAAUAACUCCCCGAAAGGGGUGCUAAUACCGGAUAAUGUCUUCGGACCAAAGAUUGAUCGCCUUUGGAUGUGCCCGCGUUGGAUUAGCUAGUUGGUAGGGUAAAAGCCUACCAAGGCGACGCUCCAUAGCUGGUCUGAGAGGAUGAGCAGCCACACUGGGACUGAGACACGGCCCAGACUCGUACGGGAGGCAGCAGUGGGGAAUAUUGGACAAUGGGCGAAAGCCUGAGGCAGCCAUGCCGCGUGAGUGAUGAAGGCCUUAGGGUUGUAAAGCUCUUUUACCCGGGAUGAUAAUGACGGUACCGGGAGAAGAAGCACCGGCUAACUCCGUG